AUGGACGUGUUCAGACCUGCUUUAAUAACUCUUCUGCUCUGGACAACAGUUUCUCUCCCAGCUCUGACCGACGGCAGUGAUGUUACCCAGAAUCCCAUUCUCUGGAAAAAAAUCGGAGAAAAUGCGACGUUCGAGUGCAGCCACAGUAAAGGUCCGACCUUCUACCAGAUGUACUGGUACCGACAGCGACCUGGGGAGAACAUGAGACAUGUUGUGUUCAUGAUGCCCAACAACGAACCGAGCUGGGAACUGGACUUCCAAUCCCAGAGGUUCUCCACCACCAAACCAGACGUUCUGAGGGGAACGUUUACAGUGAAGAACCUGGAGGACGCAGACCGAGGCUGGUAUUUCUGCGCCGUCAGUGAACACAGCGAUGCAGACGUACGAGGAACCUGAA